CCCUACGGGAGGCAGCAGUGAGGAAUAUUGGUCAAUGGGCGGGAGCCUGAACCAGCCAAGCCGCGUGAAGGAAGAAGGCGCCAAGCGUCGUAAACCUCUUUAGGCGGGGAGCAAUGCCGGGCACGCGUGCCCGGAGGGAGAGUACCCGCAGAAUAAGCAUCGGCUAACUCCGUGCCAGCAGCCGCGGUAAUACGGAGGAUGCGAGCGUUAUCCGGGUUUAUUGGGUUUAAAGGGUGCGUAGGCGGAUUUUUAAGUCAGCGGUAAAAUGUCCGGGCUCAACCCGGGCCGGCCGUUGAAACUGGGGG
rnacentral:rRNA from 1 species